UAGUCUGUUGUGACUUAUUGUUCGAAAAGGUGCAACUAACGUCUUGUAAAUGCCGUCUGCAAUUACAUCAUUAAAAAAGAACAUAAAGAAAUGCAAUGGCGUUUCAAGUGACUCUACCGCGAGCUAUGCAAUUUUUGCUAGUCUGUGGAAAAAUAUCAUGCACGUUACCACCAAAUUUUGAAAGCCGAAGAUACAAAUCAAUUAUCCACGAAAUCAUGUGGUUGAUAUCUAUGUCUGUGACAAUGAGUUUAAUAAUUCCUCUUUUUCUGGCAAUGUAUCACUUUGGUGAAGAUUUGGCAGUAUUAACAAAAUCAGUGUCAGAAUCAAUGACCGCGACAGAUCCACUUUUGAAUAUGAUUUUCUGCAAAUUAGAGAGAGCUCGAAUUCAGGUUAUUCUCAGUGAGUUAAUGAACUUCCUAAAUACUGCAUCUCCGUUUGAAAAAGCUAAACUUCAAAAACACGUUGACCAAUGCACACCGUUCUAUCUGUUCAUACUUAUUUUAUUUUCACUGACUGCUGUUGCCUUUUCAUGCGGGCCCAUCGUAAUGGACAGGCCAUUUCCGGCUGAAGCGUGGUAUCCUUUUUCAACGGAUCCACUUCCUAUCAGUUGUUCCAUAUACGUGCUUCAAAUUAUGGUCAUAGCACAAGCCGCGAUGUGUAUACAUAUGGAUUUUAUGAUUGCAUUUCUUUUGUGGUACGCCGUGGCGAGUUUUGAAAUAUUGGGAGAGAAAUUUCGUCGUGUCGAAAACGAAGUUGAUCUUCGAAAUUGUAUCGUUCAACAUCAGAAAUUGAUAGUAUUUGUUCGUGAAAUUAAUCGUGUCUUUUAUGUAAUGAUUCUAAAAACACCUCUAUCGAUGACAAUUAGCAUAAUCUGUUCUAGCGUUCAGCUGAUUCACCACGAACCUCUGCCAGUAUUGUCCCAGUUUAUUUUGCUGCUAGUAGUUUGCUCUAUAAAGCUAUACAUCACUGCUUGGCCAGCGGACAGUUUGAUCCACGCUAGCGAAAACAUCGCUUCGUCAGUUUACGAAUCAUCUUGGAUUGGUAAAUCUUCAACGUUUCUGAAGAGUCUGAACAUUGUCAUACGAAGAAGUCAAAAACCUCUCAUUAUUUCAAUCACUGGCAUACUUCCUCCACUGUCUCUACGAUUUUACGCAAGCUUUAUCACCAAAGCACUGUCGUUCAUCACGACAUUGAAGAGUGUUAUCAGCGAGUGAACAAUUAUCGAUCUUCAAAAUUCUCUUCGCGUCGCGCAGCUAUUUGAUUAGCCAUUAUCAGAGGAUACUCUCAACUCACAGCUUGAACUCCGAGAACGAUCAUGUCCAUG